GGGGGCCCAACCUCCCACCCGUGUUGCCCGAACCUAUGUUGCCUCGGCGGGCCCCGCGCCCGCCGACGGCCCCCCUGAACGCUGUCUGAAGUUGCAGUCUGAGACCUAUAACGAAAUUAGUUAAAACUUUCAACAACGGAUCUCUUGGUUCCGGCAUCGAUGAAGAACGCAGCGAAAUGCGAUAACUAAUGUGAAUUGCAGAAUUCAGUGAAUCAUCGAGUCUUUGAACGCACAUUGCGCCCUCUGGUAUUCCGGAGGGCAUGCCUGUCCGAGCGUCAUUGCUGCCCUCAAGCCCGGCUUGUGUGUUGGGCCCCGUCCCCCCCGCCGGGGGGACGGGCCCGAAAGGCAGCGGCGGCACCGCGUCCGGUCCUCGAGCGUAUGGGGCUUCGUCACCCGCUCUAGUAGGCCCGGCCGGCGCCAGCCGACCCCCAACCUUUAAUUAUCUCAGGUUGACCUCGAAUCAUGCAGCAAUCC
rnacentral:rRNA from 1 species